CCUACGGGUGGCAGCAGUGAGGAAUAUUGGUCAAUGGCCGUAAGGCUGAACCAGCCAAGUCGCGUGAAGGAAAAAGGAUCUAUGGUUUGUAAACUUCUUUUAUAGGGGAAUAAAGGGAACCACGUGUGGAUAUUUGCAUGUACCCUAUGAAUAAGCAUCGGCUAACUCCGUGCCAGCAGCCGCGGUAAUACGGAGGAUUCGAGCGUUAUCCGGAUUUAUUGGGUUUAAAGGGGGCGUAGGUGGGUUUUUAAGUCAGCGGUGAAAGUUUCUGGCUCAACCAUAAAAUUGCCGUUGAAACUGGCAGGCUUGAGUGUGUUUGAGGUAGGCGGAAUGCGUGGUGUAGCGGUGAAAUGCUUAGAUAUCACGCAGAACUCCGAUUGCGAAGGCAGCUUACUAAGCCAUAACUGACACUGAGGCACGAAAGCGUGGGGAUCAAACAGGAUUAGAUACCCGUGUAGUC
rnacentral:rRNA from 1 species